UAACAUUAUUUUAACUGUGUUUUGCAGACUGGAUCAUGGCCAUUGCAAGCUGCAUGCUGAGUGAAGAAGUCCAGAUUCCUAUUGGUGUUUUCGUCUAAAGAUCUAGAGAUUCCUGGUGACUUUCUCUACAGUUUCUACUGUCGCUUGUACACCUCCUGACAGAUGUUCCUCUACAGUGGAAGGAAACUACUGGUAUCAGUGACUAAAUACAUCAUGGAGUUAUCGUACCUAGGUCUACAACUGCAUGCAGAUGGUGACAUGCUCAUAUGAGAAGCCUCAGAGGACAGAGAAUGACAUGCAACCAGGUAUUACUCAGCUUAAGUCAUGUUUGCAGCUUUGUUGAAUUGACAGACUAGAAAGUAUUUUCAAGUCACAGGAAUAACAUGCUUUCUGAACUUACUGAGUAUAAUGAAAUGUAGUAUUUGUAUUUGUUCUAGGAAAUGUGCAGUUAAA
rnacentral:lncRNA from 1 species